rnacentral:lncRNA from 1 species
AGAGAGGGUGUGAUUAGCCCGGCUGCUCAACCCCAGGCACCAGGCACACAUCAGUACAAACACCCAACCUACGACGGGGAGAACGGACGACAUUGCCACCGCAGAAACUAUUCGUGGUCUGAAGCUCCUCCGCGUUCCCCACGGUGGCGCUAAAGCAUCCCCCGGAUUGCAACCCUGCUGGAGGCCACAACCUCUAUAUCCCAAUAUCCCAGGCCAGCAUCCACUUCUCAUUCAACGUAUCCCAACUUGUUAUCCAACCUAUCUCAAUUUCCCUACGAUGGUGCGACGACGGGAAAGCAGAGGCGGGAAAACAGAGGGAGAAGAUAAAUGAUCGUUGCUUUCAUUUACCUUAACGACCUGAAGAGUGUCAAUGCCUCCUACCUACCCACGUAGAACAUAUAUCUGGGUUCCCAUUCGGAAGGUCAUCGCAGAAGCAGCAGCGCAGGAGUUUUUCCAACUGCUAACCGUCAACCGCUACCUGGUCUACGGCACGUAUGGCAACUACCCAACUACCAUGGUAACGCCACCACUGCCGUACUGCGCACGCCACACUAGCACAGAAGCUACGAGACUACCUAGUCUGGUGCCACCGCACUGCAGCAGGCACAUCCUCCUCCGCCGCCACAGCAGCAGUAGAGGCGGCCUAUGCAUGACCACCUGAUCGAAUCCUCCGUGGUACUCAUACCACGCCAUUUGGUUCUUAGUUUUCUUGUUCAAGUAGGAGCCCUAUGCAUCCAUCUGGCAUCCUCUUCGCUGCCUCCCGUAAUUACAUCGCAUCCCCACAAUCCGGUUUGCAGAGAAAUGUACUGCAGUGAAGCCGGUAUAGCGCGCCUCAUG